rnacentral:rRNA from 1 species
CAGCAGCAGCCGCGGUAAUACGAAGGGGGCUAGCGUUGUUCGGAUUUACUGGGCGUAAAGGGCGCGUAGGCGGACUGAUAAGUCAGGGGUGAAAUCCCAAGGCUCAACCUUGGAACUGCCUUUGAUACUGUUUGUCUUGAGUUCGAGAGAGGCAAGUAGAACUGCGAGUGUAGAGGUGAAAUUCGUAGAUAUUCGCAAGAACACCAGUGGCGAAGGCGGCUUACUGGCUCGAAACUGACGCUGAGGCGCGAAAGCGUGGGGAGCAAACAGGAUUAGAGACCCCUGUAGUCCCUGUCUCUUAUAC